GGGGGCGACUUGGAAUCGACCGGAUGUCAAGAAGCGUAUGCCUGCGUGUCGUGGUUGAUCAGUUGGCCACGUAAAAAGCUGAUCAAAAACUUUUAGUUGCAGAAGAAAACUUUGCACUGGCCGCCUAAUUACAGGUAGCCCGGACUGAUGGGGAUCGCCGAUGUCGCCUGAAUGUCCGUCACAAUGUCGGAUCGUGGCCCGUCUUACUCAAGACGCGGGUCGCUAAACAAGAUUUGAGUUAGCGGAUUCGGGAGCCUGUCAGGUAGCGCCCGAUGAAGCGAAAAGGAAUCUUCGAGAUUCCACAAAUAGCUUGACUACACAUGUAGACGGCAUCGUGGAUGCAUCGCGGGACGGGAGUUCAAUCCUCCCCGCCUCCACUU
rnacentral:tmRNA from 18 species